GCCUGUCUAGCUUAGUCGGUAGAGCGCAAAGCUCUUAACCUUGUGGUCGUGCGUUCGAGCCCCACGGUGCGCG
rfam:Theobroma cacao cultivar Matina 1-6 chromosome 8, whole genome shotgun sequence.